CGGUGCUUGCGUCGCCCGGCGUCGGAUGACCGGAUGAUCGGAUUCGCCGAUCGAUGGACGGGUCCGUUGCCGGGCCGCGUCUCCGUCCUGGAGGU
rfam:Streptomyces sp. MMG1522 P406contig37.1, whole genome shotgun sequence.